rnacentral:rRNA from 1 species
UACGUAGGUGGCAAGCGUUAUCCGGAAUCAUUGGGCGUAAAGAGUGUGUAGGCGGUUUUCCAAGUCAGAUGUUAAAUCUAUAGGCUCAACCUAUAGUUCGCAUUUGAAACUGGAAAACUUGAGGACGGAAGAGGUAAGCGGAAUUUACGGUGUAGCGGUGAUAUGCAUAGAUAUCGUAAGGAACACCAAUGGCGAAGGCAGCUUACUGGGACGGACCUGACGCUGAGACACGAAAGCGUGGGGAGCGAACGGG